AUCGCUUCUCGGCCUUUUGGCUAAGAUCAAGUGUGAAAAUAUUUAUUUUUUUUUUAAUUUCUAGUGGCCAAAUUUU
rnacentral:snRNA from 1 species